GAUCCUGGCUCAGGAUGAACGCUAGCGGCAGGCCUAACACAUGCAAGUCGAGGGGCAUCACGAGGUAGCAAUACUUUGGUGGCGACCGGCGCACGGGUGCGUAACGCGUAUGUAACCUACCUAUAACAGGGGCAUAACACUGAGAAAUUGGUACUAAUUCCCCAUAAUAUUCGGAGAGGCAUCUCUCCGGGUUGAAAACUCCGGUGGUUAUAGAUGGACAUGCGUUGUAUUAGCUAGUUGGUGAGG
rnacentral:rRNA from 1 species